GGUUAAGCGACUAAGCGUACACGGUGGAUGCCCUGGCAGUCAGAGGCGAUGAAGGACGUGCUAAUCUGCGAUAAGCGUCGGUGAGGUGAUAUGAACCGUUAUAACCGGCGAUUUCCGAAUGGGGAAACCCAGUGUGUUUCGACACACUAUCAUUAACUGAAUCCAUAGGUUAAUGAGGCGAACCGGGGGAACUGAAACAUCUAAGUACCCCGAGGAAAAGAAAUCAACCGAGAUUCCCCCAGUAGCGGCGAGCGAACGGGGAGGAGCCCAGAGCCUGAAUCAGUGUGUGUGUUAGUGGAAGCGUCUGGAAAGGCGUGCGAUACAGGGUGACAGCCCCGUACACAAAAAUGCACAUAUUGUGAGCUCGAUGAGUAGGGCGGGACACGUGGUAUCCUGUCUGAAUAUGGGGGGACCAUCCUCCAAGGCUAAAUACUCCUGACUGACCGAUAGUGAACCAGUACCGUGAGGGAAAGGCGAAAAGAACCCCGGCGAGGGGAGUGAAAAAGAACCUGAAACCGUGUACGUACAAGCAGUGGGAGCCUCUUAAUGGGGUGACUGCGUACCUUUUGUAUAAUGGGUCAGCGACUUAUAUUCUGUAGCAAGGUUAACCGAAUAGGGGAGCCGAAGGGAAACCGAGUCUUAACUGGGCGUUAAGUUGCAGGGUAUAGACCCGAAACCCGGUGAUCUAGCCAUGGGCAGGUUGAAGGUUGGGUAACACUAACUGGAGGACCGAACCGACUAAUGUUGAAAAAUUAGCGGAUGACUUGUGGCUGGGGGUGAAAGGCCAAUCAAACCGGGAGAUAGCUGGUUCUCCCCGAAAGCUAUUUAGGUAGCGCCUCGUGAAUUCAUCUCCGGGGGUAGAGCACUGUUUCGGCAAGGGGGUCAUCCCGACUUACCAACCCGAUGCAAACUGCGAAUACCGGAGAAUGUUAUCACGGGAGACACACGGCGGGUGCUAACGUCCGUCGUGAAGAGGGAAACAACCCAGACCGCCAGCUAAGGUCCCAAAGUCAUGGUUAAGUGGGAAACGAUGUGGGAAGGCCCAGACAGCCAGGAUGUUGGCUUAGAAGCAGCCAUCAUUUAAAGAAAGCGUAAUAGCUCACUGGUCGAGUCGGCCUGCGCGGAAGAUGUAACGGGGCUAAACCAUGCACCGAAGCUGCGGCAGCGACACUAUGUGUUGUUGGGUAGGGGAGCGUUCUGUAAGCCUGUGAAGGUGGCCUGUGAGGGUUGCUGGAGGUAUCAGAAGUGCGAAUGCUGACAUAAGUAACGAUAAAGCGGGUGAAAAGCCCGCUCGCCGGAAGACCAAGGGUUCCUGUCCAACGUUAAUCGGGGCAGGGUGAGUCGACCCCUAAGGCGAGGCCGAAAGGCGUAGUCGAUGGGAAACAGGUUAAUAUUCCUGUACUUGGUGUUACUGCGAAGGGGGGACGGAGAAGGCUAUGUUGGCCGGGCGACGGUUGUCCCGGUUUAAGCGUGUAGGCUGGUUUUCCAGGCAAAUCCGGAAAACCAAGGCUGAGGCGUGAUGACGAGGCACUACGGUGCUGAAGCGACAAAUGCCCUGCUUCCAGGAAAAGCCUCUAAGCAUCAGGUAACAUCAAAUCGUACCCCAAACCGACACAGGUGGUCAGGUAGAGAAUACCAAGGCGCUUGAGAGAACUCGGGUGAAGGAACUAGGCAAAAUGGUGCCGUAACUUCGGGAGAAGGCACGCUGAUAUGUAGGUGAAGCGACUUGCUCGUGGAGCUGAAAUCAGUCGAAGAUACCAGCUGGCUGCAACUGUUUAUUAAAAACACAGCACUGUGCAAACACGAAAGUGGACGUAUACGGUGUGACGCCUGCCCGGUGCCGGAAGGUUAAUUGAUGGGGUUAGCGGUAACGCGAAGCUCUUGAUCGAAGCCCCGGUAAACGGCGGCCGUAACUAUAACGGUCCUAAGGUAGCGAAAUUCCUUGUCGGGUAAGUUCCGACCUGCACGAAUGGCGUAAUGAUGGCCAGGCUGUCUCCACCCGAGACUCAGUGAAAUUGAACUCGCUGUGAAGAUGCAGUGUACCCGCGGCAAGACGGAAAGACCCCGUGAACCUUUACUAUAGCUUGACACUGAACAUUGAGCCUUGAUGUGUAGGAUAGGUGGGAGGCUUUGAAGUGUGGACGCCAGUCUGCAUGGAGCCGACCUUGAAAUACCACCCUUUAAUGUUUGAUGUUCUAACGUUGGCCCGUAAUCCGGGUUGCGGACAGUGUCUGGUGGGUAGUUUGACUGGGGCGGUCUCCUCCUAAAGAGUAACGGAGGAGCACGAAGGUUGGCUAAUCCUGGUCGGACAUCAGGAGGUUAGUGCAAUGGCAUAAGCCAGCUUGACUGCGAGCGUGACGGCGCGAGCAGGUGCGAAAGCAGGUCAUAGUGAUCCGGUGGUUCUGAAUGGAAGGGCCAUCGCUCAACGGAUAAAAGGUACUCCGGGGAUAACAGGCUGAUACCGCCCAAGAGUUCAUAUCGACGGCGGUGUUUGGCACCUCGAUGUCGGCUCAUCACAUCCUGGGGCUGAAGUAGGUCCCAAGGGUAUGGCUGUUCGCCAUUUAAAGUGGUACGCGAGCUGGGUUUAGAACGUCGUGAGACAGUUCGGUCCCUAUCUGCCGUGGGCGCUGGAGAACUGAGGGGGGCUGCUCCUAGUACGAGAGGACCGGAGUGGACGCAUCACUGGUGUUCGGGUUGUCAUGCCAAUGGCACUGCCCGGUAGCUAAAUGCGGAAGAGAUAAGUGCUGAAAGCAUCUAAGCACGAAACUUGCCCCGAGAUGAGUUCUCCCUGACUCCUUGAG
rnacentral:rRNA from 1 species